rnacentral:lncRNA from 1 species
AAAAAACAAACUUUUUUGUUCGUUUCAAUUUUUUCAAUCUUUGCCAAAUUAGGGAAGGUACUCGGAUAUAAGGCAAAGGCUCUGUGUUAAAGACUGUACUUUGACCUAUAAUGGUUUACUUUGAGAAAUUGUGACUUGGAUGGAGAGUUGUCUCAUUGGCAUUCAUACCACAUCUUCUUAUAUUUAUAAGGGGAGAUAACUCAAAUAAACUAAUUUUUAUAAUAAAUGUGUUGUGAAUUUACCUAUUUUAUUGUGUAGCUAGAAAACAGGUCUGGUGACCCAAUUAUUUCUUUUUCUUAUCGAAAAGCAGAUUAUAAGAGCAAUCUUCUCAUAUUUUAUUUUUAAAUUAAAUGGCGUAGUUUUCUUUUUAUCACACAAAAUUGGGUUUUCCAUGCAUAAUCUACACAAAAUCUGACAAUUUUGCACAGCCCCCUAGCCUGAUUAAAACCCAGGGACCC